rnacentral:rRNA from 1 species
UACGGAGGGUGCGAGCGUUAAUCGGAAUUACUGGGCGUAAAGGGCGCGUAGGCGGUGGGUUACGUCUGCCGUGAAAUCCCCGGGCUCAACCUGGGAAUGGCGGUGGAAACGGGCUGACUGGAGUAUGGGAGAGGGUGAUGGAAUUCCAGGUGUAGCGGUGAAAUGCGUAGAGAUCUGGAGGAACACCAGUGGCGAAGGCGGUCAACUGGCCCAAUACUGCAGCUGAGGCGCGAAAGCGUGGGGAGCAAACAGG